AGAGUUUGAUCAUGGCUCAGAACGUACGCUGGCGGCACGCCUUAUACAUGCAAGUCGAACGAAGUAGCAAUACUUAGUGGCAGACGGGUGAGUAACAUGUAGGUAUCUUCCCUUUGGUGAGGAAUAACACGAGGAAACUUGUGCUAAUACCUCAUAAGUCUUUACGGAGAAAGCUUUAUGCGCCGAAGGAUGAGCCUGCACUUGAUUAGUUUGUUGGUGGGGUAAUGGCCCACCAAGACUUUGAUCAAUAGCUGAUCUGAGAGGAUGAUCAGCCACAUUGGGACUGAGACACGGCCCAAACUCCUACGGGAGGCAGCAGUAGGGAAUAUUGCACAAUGGAGGAAACUCUGAUGCAGCGAUGCCGCGUGAGUGAAGAAGGCCCUUGGGUUGUAAAGCUCUUUCGUCGGGGAAGAAAAUGACUGUACCCGAAUAAGAAGGUCCGGCUAACUUCGUGCCAGCAGCCGCGGUAAUACGAAGGGACCUAGCGUAGUUCGGAAUUACUGGGCUUAAAGAGUUCGUAGGUUGUUAAAAAAGUUGGUGGUGAAAUCCCAGAGCUUAACUCUGGAACUGCCAUCAAAACUUUUUAGCUAGAGUAUGAUAGAGGAAAGCAGAAUUUCUAGUGUAGAGGUGAAAUUCGUAGAUAUUAGAAAGAAUACCAAUUGCGAAGGCAGCUUUCUGGAUCAUUACUGACACUGAGGAACGAAAGCAUGGGUAGCGAAGAGGAUUAGAUACCCUCGUAGUCCAUGCCGUAAACGAUGUGUGUUAGACGUUGGAAAUUUAUUUUCAGUGUCGCAGCGAAAGCAUUAAACAC
rnacentral:rRNA from 1 species